GGGGGUGAUCGGUUUCGACAGUGUCUGUCGAGUGAGGGGAAGCGGGCCGAGGAAGGCAACGAUCAUCUCGUUAACGAUCCGUUGCAAAAAAUCAAGCGCCGACUCCAGUCAGCGCGAGUUCGCCCUCGCCGCCUGAGCGAGUAGCGACUCCGUCAGCCCGGGUUGAGUUCCCGACCCGGUUCCUGGCGUCAUUCAGGGAACUCACCGAGGGAUCCGGUCGCGGGAACCCGAGGGACAUCUCACAGCGACUGGGCUCGUCAUCCCGGCAUGUUCGCGUGAUCGGGAGAGUCAAGUAGAGGCUUAGCGGACUGCGCCCGGAGAAGUCCUCACAACACAACAUUGGACGCGGGUUCGAUUCCC
rnacentral:tmRNA from 14 species